CCGAUACCAAAGUGCGGGACACACGUCCUCGUACAGACACUGUGCGCUACCCGGCGCGAUCGACGUCGUCGGUCGACGCAGUCACUUGUUACCGUGAUUCGAAGAAGAAUACCCGUUGACGCUUCGGGGUACCUGUCGCACGUCGGCCGUCUUCGCGUGCGGUGAGCAGGCCGCGGGCUUCGGUCCGCGGUCGGCGAAGGUCCAACGAACCGUCCGCGCGUGCGUUCGCGCGCGCGCGUUCGGUCGCCCCGUCGYAUUCUCUGUCAGUCAGUCAGUUAACACGUACGGUCGCAUCUGUUACCAUGUCAGGACARCGAGAGUYACACAGAC
rnacentral:misc_RNA from 1 species